UCUGGAUUACUGUACUCUAGAUCAGUGGUUCUCAACCUGUGUGUUACAACCUCUUUGGAGUCACAUAUCAGAUAUUUAUGUUACAAUUCAUAAUAGUAGCAAAAUUACAGUUAUGAAGUAGGAACAGAAGGAACUGUAUUAAAGGGUCACAGCAUUAGAAGGUUGAGAACAACUGCUUCUAAAUGAUAAUUUUUCUAGCUUUACUCAUUUACCUACACAUUUCAUAAUUUCAUUUUUAAGAGCUGAAAAAUACUCCAUUGUCUAAGUGUGCCAAUUUUUAAUAUUUAUAUUAAAUAGUUUUUCCCCAUCUUUGGUAAUGUUAGGAGUGGUUUGGUUUUUAGAUUUUGAGAAAGGGGUCUUGUUAUGUAGCUCAGACUGGCCUUGCACUUGCAGUCUUUCUGUUUUUGUUUUUUUUAUUAUUUUUUAUUUUUUAAAGAUUUAUUCUAUAUAUGUGACAAAGAGACAAAGUUUGGAGCUGAGACAAAAGGAUGGACCAUCUAGAGGCCAUACCCGGGGAUCCAUCCCAUAAUCAGCCUCCAAAUGCUGACACCAUUGCAUACACCAGCAAGAUUUUGCUGAAAGGACCCAGAUAUAGCUGUCUCUUGUGAGGCUAUGCCGGGGCCUGGCAAACACAGAAGUGGAUGCUGACAGUCAGCUAUUGGAUGGAACACAGGGCCCCCGAUGGAGGAGCUAGAAAAAGCACCCAAGGAGCUAAAGGGGUCUGCAACCCUAUAGGUGGAACAACAAUAUGAGCUAACCAGUACCCCCGGAGCUCGUGUCUCUAGCUGCAUAUGUAUCAGAAGAUGGCCUAGUUGGCCAUCAUUGGGAAGAGAGGCCCCUUUAUAUGCCUCAGUACGGGGGAACGCCAGGGCCAAGAAGUGGGAAUGGGUGAGUAAGAGAGUUGGGGGGGUGGGUCUGGGGGACUUUUGGGAUAGCAUUUGAAAUGUAAAUGAAGAAUAUACCUAAUUAAAAAAAAAGAUUUAUUCUAUAUAUGUGAGUAUACUCGCUGUCUUCAGACACACCAGAAGAGGGCAUCGGAUCCCAUUACAGAUGGUUGUGAGCCACCAUGUGGUUGCUGGGAAUUAAACUCAGGACCUCUGGAAAAGCAGUCAGUGCUCUUAGCUACUGAGCCAUCUCUCCAGCCCCACUUGCAGUCUUUCUGUCUCAGCCUCCUGAGUUCUGGCCUUGUAGACUUGAUUAUCAUGCCCAAAACCAGCUAUGUUAAUGUUAUGUUCUUCCCUAGAAGAGUACAAUUUGGUUAUUUCAGGAAAGGAAUCCUCUAGCCAUAAUAACUUUUAUCUCAGGAAUUUAGUUCACUUCAGGGAGGUCCACAAGGUGUAUCCAGUAGCCAGUUUGUAAACAAAGUUUCAUUGGAUCAUGGCUUUGUUUGUUGAAUGCAUUACCUGUGAUUGUUCUGUUCAAGACCACAGUUGGCUAAGUCGUAGAGACUUUAUGGCUCCAUGAACCUAAAAUAUUCUCUGUCUAAUUUUUUUUAGAGAAAUGUUUGCUUAUCUCUGGUGUAGACUAUUUUUAGUAUAGAGUGCAAUGGUGAAUCUCAAGAGCCUUUUUUAUUUAUUUUCUGAUGAAGUUUGAUAAGACGGGGGAAUCUGUAGAGAAUAAGAGAUUUACAAAUUAUUACC
rnacentral:lncRNA from 1 species